rnacentral:misc_RNA from 1 species
GAUGAAGAACGUAGCGAAAUGCGAUAGGUAAUGUGAAUUGCAGAAUUCAGUGAAUCAUCGAAUCUUUGAACGCACAUUGCGCCCUUUGGUAUUCCUUAGGGCAUGCCUGUUCGAGCGUCAUUUCAACCCUCAAGCACAGCUUGGUGUUGGGACUCGCGUUAAUUCGCGUUCCUCAAAUUGAUUGGCGGUCACGUCGAGCUUCCAUAGCGUAGUAGUAAAACCCUCGUUACUGGUAAUCGUCGCGGCCACGCCGUUAAACCCCAACUUCUGAAUGUUGACCUCGGAUCAGGUAGGAAUACCCGCUGAACUUAAGCAUAUCAAUAAGCGGAGGA